GUAAGGGCAUGUAGGCGGUCUGUUAAGUCUGGUGUGAAAGCCCGGGGCUCAACCCCGGAAGUGCAUCAGAUACUGGCCGACUUGAGUAUGGGAGAGGAAAGUGGAAUUCCGAGUGUAGGAGUGAAAUCCGUAGAUAUUCGGAGGAACACCAGUGGCGAAGGCGGCUUUCUGGACCAAUACUGACGCUGAGAUGCGAAAGCGUGGGGAGCGAACAGGAUUAGAUACCCUGGUAGUCCACGCCGUAAACGAUGGGUACUAGAUGUUGCGGGUAAUCACUCCUGCAGUGUCGCAGCUAACGCAUUAAGUACCCCGCCUGGGGAUUACGGCCGCAAGGCUAAAACUCAAAAGAAUUGACGGGGGCCCGCACAAGCGGUGGAGCAUGUGGUUUAAUUCGACGCAACGCGAAGAACCUUACCUGGGCUUGACAUCCCGAUCGUACUCUAUGGAAAGAUAGAGGUCAGCUUGGCUGGAUCGGUGACAGGUGCUGCAUGGCUGUCGUCAGCUCGUGUCGUGAGAUGUUGGGUUAAGUCCCGCAACGAGCGCAACCCUUGUCCUUAGUUGCCAUCAUUAAGUUGGGCACUCUAGGGAAACUGCCGGUGUUAAACCGGAGGAAGGUGGGGAUGACGUCAAGUCCUCAUGGCCCUUAUGCCCAGGGCUACACACGUGCUACAAUGGCCGGUACAAAGGGCAGCGAUACCGCAAGGUGGAGCAAAUCCCAAAAAGCCGGUCUCAGUUCGGAUUGGAGUCUGCAACUCGACUCCAUGAAGUUGGAAUCGCUAGUAAUCGCGUAUCAGCAUGACGCGGUGAAUACGUU
rnacentral:rRNA from 1 species